CCUACGGGAGGCAGCAGUAGGGAAUCUUCCGCAAUGGACGAAAGUCUGACGGAGCAACGCCGCGUGAGUGAUGAAGGCUUUCGGGUCGUAAAACUCUGUUGUUAGGGAAGAACAAGUGCUAGUUGAAUAAGCUGGCACCUUGACGGUACCUAACCAGAAAGCCACGGCUAACUUCGUGCCAGCAGCCGCGGUAAU
rnacentral:rRNA from 1 species